GACGAACGCUGGCGGCGUGCUUAACACAUGCAAGUCGAACGGAAAGGCCCUGCUUUUGUGGGGUGCUCGAGUGGCGAACGGGUGAGUAACACGUGAGUAACCUGCCCUGGACUUUGGGAUAACUUCAGGAAACUGGGGCGAAUACCGGAUAGGAGCUCCUGCUGCAUGGUGGGGGUUGGAAAGUUUCGGCGGUUGGGGAUGGACUCGCGGCUUAUCAGCUUGUUGGUGGGGUAGUGGCUUACCAAGGCUUUGACGGGUAGCCGGCCUGAGAGGGUGACCGGCCACAUUGGGACUGAGAUCCGGCCCAGACUCCUACGGGAGGCAGAAGUGGGGAAUAUUGCACAAUGGGCGGAAGCCUGAUGCAGCAACGCCGCGUGCGGGAUGACGGCCUUCGGGUUGUAAACCGCUUUCGCCUGUGACGAAGCGUGAGUGACGGUAAUGGGUAAAGAAGCACCGGCUAACUACGUG
rnacentral:rRNA from 1 species